UACUUGUACCGACUGGAUGAGCAGCGAACGGGUGAGUAACGCGUGGGGAAUCUGCCUUUGAGCGGGGGACAACAUUUGGAAACGAAUGCUAAUACCGCAUAAAAACUUUAAACACAAGUUUUAAGUUUGAAAGAUGCAAUUGCAUCACUCAAAGAUGAUCCCGCGUUGUAUUAGCUAGUUGGUGAGGUAAAGGCUCACCAAGGCGAUGAUACAUAGCCGACCUGAGAGGGUGAUCGGCCACAUUGGGACUGAGACACGGCCCAAACUCCUACGGGAGGCAGCAGUAGGGAAUCUUCGGCAAUGGACGAAAGUCUGACCGAGCAACGCCGCGUGAGUGAAGAAGGUUUUCGGAUCGUAAAACUCUGUUGGUAGAGAAGAACGUUGGUGAGAGUGGAAAGCUCAUCAAGUGACGGUAACUACCCAGAAAGGGACGGCUAACUACGUGCCAGCAGCCGCGGUAAUACGUAGGUCCCGAGCGUUGUCCGGAUUUAUUGGGCGUAAAGCGAGCGCAGGUGGUUUAUUAAGUCUGGUGUAAAAGGCAGUGGCUCAACCAUUGUAUGCAUUGGAAACUGGUAGACUUGAGUGCAGGAGAGGAGAGUGGAAUUCCAUGGUUU
rnacentral:rRNA from 1 species